rnacentral:rRNA from 1 species
AAAUCCGGUGCAAGAUGGGCCUGCGUCCGAUUAGUUAGUUGGUGAGGUAACGGCUCACCAAGGCGACGAUCGGUAGCCGAACUGAGAGGUUGAUCGGCCACAUUGGGACUGAGACACGGCCCAGACUCCUGCGGGAGGCAGCAGUGGGGAAUAUUGCGCAAUGGGGGGAACCCUGACGCAGCAACGCCGCGUGAAGGAAGAAGGCCUUCGGGUUGUAAACUUUUUUGAUUGGGGAAGAAAAAAAUGACGGUACCCAAGGAACAAGCCACGGCUAACUACGUGCCAGCAGCCGCGGUAAUACGUAGGUGGCGAGCGUUGUCCGGAAUUACUGGGUGUAAAGGGCGUGUAGGCGGGAUUGUAAGUCAGAUGUGAAAUUCCAGGGCUUAACUCUGGAGGUGCAUCUGAAACUAUAAUUCUUGAGUGCUGGAGAGGAAAGCGGAAUUCCUAGUGUAGCGGUGAAAUGCGUAGAUAUUAGGAAGAACACCAGUGGCGAAGGCGGCUUUCUGGACAGUAACUGACGCUGAGGCGCGAAAGCGUGGGGAGCAAACAGGAUUAGAUACCCUGGUAGUCCACGCUGUAAACGAUGGAUACUAGGUGUAGGAGGUAUCGACCCCUUCUGUGCCGGAGUUAACACAAUAAGUAUCCCACCUGGGGAGUACGGCCGCAAGGCUGAAACUCAAAGGAAUUGACGGGGGCCCGCACAAGCAGUGGAGUAUGUGGUUUAAUUCGAAGCAACGCGAAGAACCUUACCAGGGCUUGACAUCCCUCGGAUAACAUAGAGAUAUGUUAGUCCUUCGGGACGAGGAGACAGGUGGUGCAUGGUUGUCGUCAGCUCGUGUCGUGAGAUGUUGGGUUAAGUCCCGCAACGAGCGCAACCCCUAUUGUUAGUUGCCAUCAUUAAGUUGGGCACUCUAACGAGACUGCCGGUGACAAAUCGGAGGAAGGUGGGGACGACGUCAAAUCAUCAUGCCCCUUAUGUCCUGGGCUACACACGUACUACAAUGGUCACUACAAAGGGAAGCAAUACCGCAAGGAGGAGCAAAUCCCCAAAGGUGACCUCAGUUCGGAUUGUGGGCUGAAACCCGCCCACAUGAAGUCGGAAUUGCUAGUAAUGGCAGGUCAGCAUACUGUCGUGAAUACGUUCCCGGGAUUGUACACACCGCCCGUCACACCAUGAGAGUUUGCAACACCCGAAGUCAGUAG